GAUGAACGCUGGCGGCGUGCUUAACACAUGCAAGUCGAACGGUGAAGGCGGAGCUUGCUCUGCUGGAUCAGUGGCGAACGGGUGAGUAACACGUGAGCAAUCUGCCCCUGACUCUGGGAUAAGCGCUGGAAACGGCGUCUAAUACUGGAUACGAGCUGCGAAGGCAUCUUCAGCAGCUGGAAAGAACUUCGGUCAGGGAUGAGCUCGCGGCCUAGCAGCUUGUUGGUGAGGUAACGGCUCACCAAGGCGUCGACGGGUAGCCGGCCUGAGAGGGUGACCGGCCACACUGGGACUGAGACACGGCCCAGACUCCUACGGGAGGCAGCAGUGGGGAAUAUUGCACAAUGGGCGAAAGCCUGAUGCAGCAACGCCGCGUGAGGGACGACGGCCUUCGGGUUGUAAACCUCUUUUAGCAGGGAAGAAGCGAAAGUGACGGUACCUGCAGAAAAAGCGCCGGCUAACUACGUG
rnacentral:rRNA from 1 species